rnacentral:misc_RNA from 1 species
AACGCACAUUGCGCCCUUUGGUAUUCCGAAGGGCAUGCCUGUUCGAGCGUCAUUUUCACCCCUCAAGCCCCCGGCUUGGUUUUGGACGGUCUGGUUUAGGCACCGCCUAAACCCCUCCUAAAGAUAAUGACGGCGGCCUCGUUGGACCCCCGGUACACUGAGCUUCUUAACUGAGCACGUAUCGGAUCUAGGGUGCGCGGGACACGGUCUUCAACCCCCUUUUUUUCUAAGGUUGACCUCGGAUCAGGUAGGAAUACCCGCUGAACUUAA